UACGUAGGGUGCAAGCGUUAAUCGGAAUUACUGGGCGUAAAGCGUGCGCAGGCGGUUGUGCAAGACAGAUGUGAAAUCCCCGGGCUUAACCUGGGAAUUGCAUUUGUGACUGCACGGCUAGAGUGUGUCAGAGGGGGGGUAGAAUUCCACGUGUAGCAGUGAAAUGCGUAGAUAUGUGGAGGAAUACCGAUGGCGAAGGCAGCCCCCUGGGAUAACACUGACGCUCAUGCACGAAAGCGUGGGGAGCAAACAGG
rnacentral:rRNA from 1 species